UGCUUGGCUCUGAGAACUGAAUUCCAUAGGCGUUGAAGCCUCCAAAAUGCCCUAUGGAUUCAGUUCUGCAGC
ensembl:miRNA